AUUCAGUGUGGCCUGAAAGAAUGCAUUUGGGACAGGAGAAAAGGAAUGAGUCACAUAUUGGUGGUAAUGGUUCUCUGCAGAGGUUUACUGGGCUCAAUCACAGGUGAGUUUUUCUGUCAGGAUCAAAAGACGGAAGCAGAGGAGAUUUGUGGGCAUACAGCUUGGAAGAGAUGGGGCUAAAUACCAAACUGGCCACCUGGCACGUGAGUGUUGGAAAUGCUUGAUGACUCGGAACCAAGCGUGCGAACAGUGCAGCUGUCGUUUCCCUUGGCCAUUUUCUGCAGGCAGGGGGUCGCCAAGUCAGGAUGAAGCAUAGCGAGGUUUAGGCUCAAGGAAAAAUACAGGGACCCCCUUAUUUCAUCAUCGGGGAGGGAUGGUUAGAGGUCUGUUGUUGACUCGAUCGGUUUUUCCUUCGCUGCUGUGUUACCAAUUUUCCUGGAUAGAUAAGAGUGGUGAUGGCAGUUAAGUUGGAGCUAGCUGUUACAUUUACAUACAGAUAUAUCUUCGUGAAAUUCCGAUCCGUUUAUUCACUCACUCAAUUGUGUGGUGCACAAAAAAAAAUGUGGUGGUGGUGUCUGUUGGUGCCCUGACCUGACCUGUUCUUGGUUGAAAUUACCAGCUAGCUGUUCAUAUAUAUGUGAAACUUAACUAGCUA